ensembl:lncRNA
GUGAGGGGCGAGGGGGGCUUGCUCUCUGGCGCCCUCUAAUGGCAACUCGAACAAUGUUUACUUUCGUAAUUCAGUCCGGGGGGAAGGCAGCUGGGUUUUUGUUGUUGCUGGAUUUUUUUUCCCCCUUCUCAGACUUUAAAAAACAACAACAAAAAAAACGAACUAGAGACUCUCAGCAAAUUGACUGUUUUCAACGUAUGAACUUAUGCAUGUGCCUUCAAAUCCUCCAUGUUUUCUCCCCGAACAUCCCUUCCUCUCCCAGAGUCUUGUUAGACUGAGGAGAGCUUCCUUCCCCGCAAAUUGAUUUAUGAAGGGUGGUCCACGCCCAGUUAGGAAUUCGGGCCCAGAGCUUCGUUUCCUACCUGAACAGCAUUCCGACUCUCGGAAUACACUCGAGAGGUGCGAGGAGGUGGAGUGGGAAGAGAUGAUUUGGAAAUUGCAGAUUCUGACACAGGCUCAUUAGAAUACAAUUUAAAGGGGGCUCUCAGGACCCUGUGCGGCUGCGACAUGUGGUGGUCAGGGGGGUUUCCUUCCCGCCUCCUUUUUCUUUUUUUCUUUCUCUUCUUUCUUUUCCUCAUUUUUUUUCUUUUUUAAAAAUUUGGUAGAUAAAGGUUAAUCUUGGGCUGAAUGGUAGAGCUCUGAUUGACAGGAGAAAAGGUGUCGAGGGCAGGUCGCGCUGUCUUAUUUACAGCCCACUGCUUGCUCAGAGUCUUUGUUAGGACUGGAAAGCUAAUUUAGUGCUGAUCAAAAGCACCACAGAGUUAAAGGACUGGUAAUGACUGCUAAUUUCAUUUCAGCCUCAUGCAAGCCCAACUGCUGUAAUUAAAGACACGCUAUUUAAAUACAGGUGCUUCUUGUCAUUUAUACCUGGCUUGGCAGAACUGGCAGUAUGAAAUGUGUCAGUCACACACACACACAAAGACCCUCCUAAGGAGGUAGGGGAGAAGGAUGCAGAGGAGAAACUAUUUAGGAGGCAUUUAAAUAUUUGGGUCUCUCUUUUUCCCCCUUGGAUUUAAUGGAAGGGCCUUCAAUAUAGCUAAAAGUAUUUGAAACUUGGGGCAGGGUGAACAGGCCAGAGAGAUCAGUGUCAGCUUUUAAAGUACUCUAAAAAAGAUCAUGUGAACAGACAGGAAAAUAUAUUUUAAUUAAAUAAUUUCCCCCACACUAGAGCUGCAGUAUUGGCUCAGAAACCUUGUAAUUUCUCAACUGAUAGGAGUUUCUUUAUGAGAACAUCAAAGGAUAAAAAGCUCUACAUUUUCGUAGUUGGUUAAAAUUGAUAACCACCCCCCAUACACACACGCACAUGCACACACACAACCCCCAAAAAGAAUUUAGCCUUUAAUCUCUUUUUAUCCACGAAGACUAAAGCUCUGUACUCGACCCCUUGAGCGUUUCUCGCCUUCCGGGGCUGGAACCCAGCUCAGAUGUGAAGCGGCGCUGAGCCGCCGCGCAGGUUCGUGCCCAGCGCCCCCUGUUGGACACAGUAGGCGCUGCGCAGCGCCAGUCCUGGAAAUCGCUAGAACCUGGCUCUGGGGUUACAGAAAACUCUUUAUUACCCUCCAGAAAGGAAAUAGGGCGCGGAAACAAGUUUUUAUAUCCUUAAAAGAUAUUUUAAUUCAAUAAACACUAAAAAGGAGAUAAUACACUUUUAAUGCAAUAAAAAUAAAAGACUCAUUCCUCCUGCUCUGCUCCCAGCCAGCCCC